CGCGCAUCAUUUUCGCCAGGGACCAGAAGCUCUACAGUUCCGCUUGCCCUUCGUCAUUUCCGCCAGGGGACCAGAGGAGACAGGACAGUCCGCGCUACAGUUCCGCUUCCUCUUUGUCAUUUCUGCCAGGAGAAGUUGCGCGUCGGUUCCGUAGGAGCAUGCGGUUUCCGGGUCGGGGCUCCCUGUGCCGUAGAGCACUAGGUCACCAAUGAGCACUAACUGGCGUUGGAAGAUGGAAGCCGAGAGUAUAGCUAUACUGAAAUGUAAGCGUCGCCCGCCUAGAUCAGCCCAAAGUAGGCCCGUUGAGAGAGGUGAGUCUGGGGUUGCCACUGGCUCUGCCUUCUCUGCUGCUGCCCCCCCGGGGCUUUGGGAUGCGCAGCUCCCUGUUGAAAGAAGAGCCUCCCCAUCUCUGGCAUCUUUUUAAAAGGCACUGGAGACAUUGGCUUACCCAGGCUUUUCACUAGAUUUAUAUUUUUAAUACUUUCAAUGUUGGGUUUAAAAUUAUUUUAAUGUUUUAAUCACUUCAGUUUUGUUUAAUUUGUAAUGCUUUUACUGUACACUGUCCAGAAACACAGGUUUUGGUUGGUAUAUAAAUGUUAAAUAAAAGUCACAGAAUCAAAACAUGCACAUUUUCCACAUGCAGGAAGCCUUAAGGUGUACCUCCUUAGAGGGCAGCAAGUUUUGUUUCUGCAUUUAAGGGGGGGGAGAGAGGCAGGCAGCUGCCCAGUCCCAAACCCUCCAUGCUUCGCUCCCUGCUGUUGAUGAAGAGCAGAGCCAAGUAGGACCUUCACGAGAUGGGGGAGCGCUUGACCGGCGGAACUCCUUGCCAGGAGAGCACCACCUAGCAGCAGCAGCAGCACAGCGGCCCAAGGGGCGGGCAAAGCUGCUGGGGCGGUUGUGGGGUGGAGUCGUCGCCCUUUGCAAGGCCCCCAAAGCAUCCCAGGAAAAGCCGCUUCCAGGCCCGCCCACCUCCCCCGGGAAGAAGCGCUGCCGCUCUAGGACGCCCCUCCGCGAACCCUUCCCUGAGCAUCUGGGGAGGGAGGAAGGGGAGGACGAAGCCAGCAGCGCCUCAGGGAACCCUGCAGGGAAGAGGGGGCCGCGGGGGGGGCGCAGGCAGGGGGCAGCCCAGAGCCGGAAGCCACAGCGGGGUCCAGGCAGGGUUGCUUUCUGGAAGGAGCCGCUCCUCCGCCUGCCGCCUGUUGCGCAUGCUCAGUAGCCAGAGUCCACGAGACGACUCCUGCAGCCCAGACUAGUCAAAACCUGGCCAGACAUCCAUGCUGCCAGGCUAUCCAAAAGGGCACGGAGGCUUCAGGGCGGGCCACUGGGCGUGCGCAGCCGCCGGUACAGACAUGCGCAGAGACGCAAAGCCUCGGCGGGGGAAUUCUGGCGGGCUUUCUGCGCUCCUCCCCGCGCGCCCCUGGGAGCCGACCCCACUCCUCUGAUUGGUUGGCGGGGUGACAGGCGCAUCACUGAUUGGCGAGCAGCUGGACAGCGGGCUCCGCCUCCCGCAGCUGAAGCUCACGACGCCUCCAGCCACGUUUGACUGAGAAAUAAUUUGAAACACCUGAGGCGGCAAGAGCCGCAGCAGGAGGAAGACCAGCAGGGCCGAGAAGGAAGGGUUCUCCUCAGGGAACUAGGGGGCUUCACGCCCCACACCGCAGCAGGAGGGCCAGGGCUGGGGAGGAGAGGCCCCCCUCAGGGAACUAGGGGGCUUCACGCCCCACAUUGCCCCUACUCAGCUGCUGAGGAAGACCAACCACAAGCCUCUAAGGGGCAGAGAAAUGCUGUGAGGGAAGGCUGUCUCCCAGACAGGGCAAGGAAGGGCUCUAUGCCCAGCCUGGGACUUUGCCUCAACAAUAAUAGGAAUAGUUUCUGAGGGAAGGCUGUCUUCAGGACAGUGCAAAGGAGGGCUUUAUGCCCAGCCUUGGCUUUUACCUCACCAAAAUAAGGAUAAUAAAUCUCUGUUGCUUCAAAAAAGGAGGCGGAAACCACUCAAGCCAUGCUACUUAGCCAGGAUAUGGCUUUUUAAAAGAAUACUUUGUGGGAGAGUGGUGGGAAAACGGUCUUCAAGACCCCUGCCAAAAGCCAGUUUCUGAGGGGAAGUGAAGUUUCUGAGUGGGGAGUUCAUCUCUCUGCUUUGGCUUCAUCUUGCCAAAAGAACUCAAACCCCUUCUGUGGAUGCUGCAGCCGUGCUGACGUGUGCAAAAGCCCGGCCACCUCACUGCCCACAUUUGUAGCAUUUGUCUGCAGAGGGCAACACGCGACAGAUUCUCCCCGUCCUCAGAACACUGGGGCGCCACAGUCUUCUGCAUCACGGUGAAAACCUGUCCACUCUUAGCGCGUUCUUGCUCUGUGCAGACAAAUGCUAGAACUAUGGACCGCGUAGGGCAGGACUUCUGAGCGCAACGGCACAGGGGCUGUAGCAGGAAAUUCCCUGAGGCCAGGGGCUGCUGUGCAACUACAGACUGGCCCUUUUAGUCUGAGAAAACUGGGUGCGACUUGAGGCUGUCCAAAGAAACCUGAGGCUCCUUUAUGCUCCCGACAGCUGUGUAUGGCAGCAUAAUUCCUAAGAGAGUGGCUGGCUUGAAUGGAACACCCUCCCUGCGCAUUAAAAGCCUUAGGCUUCUAGAUACUCAGAACACUUUUCUGAGGCAGCAUAAUCUCUAAUUUUCAGGCAGGCUUGUAUGGAACAUGCUUCAGGCUUCUUAAUUCUCUCAAGAGAAGAGAGGGUUCUCUUUCUAUUCUCUCAAAUUCUUUUUAAUGAGUUAUAUCUUUUCAUAUUUGUGAAUGGCAUAGAGCUAUCUGGAUGAGGGGGUGAAUAAAUAAAACAGCUGUGGGAGUCAGCAUAAUCUCUAAAAUGGGGGCUGGCUUGUAUGUAUGAUAGAAGCACCAGGAUGAUUUAUAACUGGCAACUUUAUAGGGAAGGAUAAUCUCAAAUUUAGCACCUAUCUUUAACUGAACAUUUUUCAUGUGUUCUAUUCCCACAAUAUCGCUUGGAGAACAAUUUAGCAAAAAGAAACGGAGUUGGUGCAUGUGUCCCUACGACCCACGGACCGGAGUGCAGCUCUUGGAGCAUUUGCUCCUCCCCAGGGGCCAACGUGGCAGAUUUCAAGAAACAACCGACAGAGGCGACAUCACAGAAGCCCAGAAGACGUGAAAGGGGCCAACGACACAGACACACAGGGCGAGUCAAACCAAACCACAACCCAGGGGCUGCGUACAAGCUUCAGGCUUCUCUCUUGUCCCAAACAUCAUCAUCAUCAUCAUCAUCACACACUUUAUAUGUGAGCCACCCUGUAAGAAAUAGUCCUCUGGGGAGCUCACAACACAACAUUGAAAAACGUCCUAGAAGAGCACAUACAACACAACAAACACAUCACAACACGAAACGGCAGCAUCUCUAAAAUGGUGGCUGCCUUGAAUGGAAGAGGCUUCAUGCCUCUUCAAGCAGCUUUGGGGGAACUGCCAAGAACAGACACAAUACCAUAUACAGGUUGUAUUCUGCCAUUUAGAGAACACGCUUCACGCGUGUUGGGAGCUUCAAGCUUCUUUAGUCCCGCAUGCUAUUCUUGUGCUUCAUACACUCUAGGAAUUUAGCUGCCUUGAAUGGAAGAGGCUUCAUGCCUCUUGCAUUGUGUCCCCUUGAAAACCCUGCGUGGCAAACCGAGCCAGAAGAAACAGAGUCGGCGCAUGUGUCCCUACAUCCUCCAGGCCGGAGUGCAGAUCUUGGAGCAUUUGUUCCUCCCCAGGGGCCAACGUGGCAGGUAAGGCUCCAAAAAGAGAAUGCUAAUUGUACAGGAGAAAAUCUACCAGAAUAGAAUCCCUAGCUGUAUCAUUGCCUUUUGGGAAGAGACUUUUCCUCAGUGGACUGAAAAAAGGGUACCUCAAAUGUUCCUCCGAUAUAUAUUAUAUAUUAUGGAUUAUUUUAUUUUUUCCAUUUUAUAUCCCGCUCUUCCUCCAAGGAGCCCAGAGCGGUGUACUACAGACUUAGGUUUUUCACAACAACCCUGUGAAGUAGGUUAGGCUUUCCUCAGCGGACUGAAGAAAGGGUACCUCAAAUGUUCCUCCGAUAUAUAUGAUGUUUAUAUCCUGCUCUUCCUCCAAGGAGCCCAGAGCAGUGUACUACAGACUUAGAUUUCUUUCUCACAUCAACCCUGUGAAGUAGGUUAGGCGGAGAAAGAAGUGACUGGCCGAGAGUCACCCAGCAAGUCUCAUGGCUGAAUGGGGAUUUGAACUCGGGUCUCCCUGGUCCUAGUCCAGAUCCAUUGGGAGCACAUACAACACGACAAGCACAUCACAACACGAAGCAGCAGCAUCUCUAAAAUGGUGGCUGCCUUGAAUGGAAGAGGUUUCAUGCCUCUUCAAGCAGCUUUGGGGGAAUUGCCAAGAAGAGACACAAUACCAUAUACAGGUUGUAUUCUGCCAUUUAGAGAACACGCUUCACGCGUGUUGGGAGCUUCAAGCUUCUUUAGUCCCGCAUGCUAUUCUUGUGCUUCAUACACUCUAGGAAUUUAGCUGCCUUGAAUGGAAGAGGCUUCAGGCCUCUUGCAUUUUGUCCCUUUGACAACCCUGCAAGGCAAACCGGGCCAGAAGAAACGGAGUCGGCGCAUGUGUCCCUACAUCCUCCAGGCCGGAGUGCAGAUCUUGGAGCAUUUGUUCCUCCCCAGGGGCCAACGUGGCAGAUUUCAAGAAACAACCGACAGAGGCAACAUCACAGAAGCCCAGAAGAUGUGAAAGGAGCCAACGACACAGACACACAAGGCCAGCCAAACCACAACCCAGGGGCUGCGUCGAAGCUUCAGGCUUCUCUCUUGUCCCAAACAUCAUCAUCAUCACACACUUUAUUUGUGAGCCACCCCAUAACAAAUCGUCCUCUGGGCGGCUCACAACACAACAUUGAAAAAUGUCCAAGAAGAGCACAUACAACACAACAAACACAUCACAACACGAAACGGCAGCAUCUCUAAAAUGGCGGCUGCCUUAAAUGGAACAUGCUUCAUGCCUCUUCAAGCAGCUUUUGGGGAAUUGCCAAGGAGAGACACAAUACCAUGUACACGUUGUAUUCUGCCAUUUAGAGAACACGCUUCACGCGUGUUGGGAGCUUCAAGCUUCUUUAGCCCCGCAACGCUUUUCUUGGGCUGCAUACACUCUAGGAAGGUGGCUGCCUUGAAUGGAAGAGGCUUCAUGCCUCUUGCAUUGUGUCCCCUCGACAACCCUGCGUGGCAAACCGGGCCAGAAGAAACGCAGUUCUAUAGUCAGGGCAACUCUACAGGGGGUUUCCCAGAGUCUAUUUCUUGCCAUUUUGAUUUUGAGUUCUUGGCACAUGACAAUGGUAGCAUUUGUAGAGUUCUGGUAUGUCACAACUUUUUUCUGUGUAGAGAAGCUUAAAGAAGGUAAUGUGCUUGGAAGAAAUUUUAUAUUCAGUGACAAGGAAGACUUAGAUGGUGUGUGGGGGGAGUGCUCAAAUGUAGCCUGCAUAACUAGUGUUUUGGUAUUUUCAAACAAUAUUCGUAUCUUUUUCAUACAGCUCAUAAUUAAUCUAUGGAAUUCUCUGCCACAGGAUGUGGUGAUGGCCACCAGCUUGGAUGGCUUUGAGCAGGGUUUAGACAAAUUCAUGAAGUCUAUCAGUGGCUACUAAUCUUGAUGGCUGUAUGCUUUUUCCAGGUUCAGAAGUAGGGUGCCUCCUAAUACACAAGGAGCUGCAAGGGAACAAGAAUAGGAGAGGGAGCACACCUUCACCUCCUGGUUGUGAACUUCCUGGAAGCAUCUGAUGGGGCACUAUGGGAAACGGGAUGCUGGACCACAUGGGAUUUGGGCCUGAUCUAGCAAGGAUCUUCUUAUAUUCUUGUUCUAAUUGUGAAAUGCACAAACCGGUUAAGCUGAGAGAGAUGUGACCGGCCCAGAGUCACCUAGCAAGUCUCAUGGCUGAAUGGGGAUUUGAACUCCGGUUUCCAAGGUCCUAGUCCAGCACUCUAACCACUACAUCAUGCUGGCUCUCAAUCCUUUGGCCAAACCCUCAUAAGAUUAAGAAAUGACACAUUGCUCCCACUUCAGAAUAAGUGGCACAAUUUGCUCUUUUCCAACAGAUUUCAAGAAACAAUCGACAGAGACAACAUCACAGAAGCCAAGAAGACGUGGAAGGAGCCAAAGACACAGACACACAGGGCAAGCCAAACUAAACCACAACCCAGGGGCUACGUAGAAGCUUCAGGCUUCUCUCUUGUCCCAAACAUCAUCAUCAUCAUCAUCACCACACACUAUUUGUGAUCCACCCCAUAACAAAUAGUCCUCUGGGCGGCUCACAACACACCAUUGAGAAAUGUCCAACAAGAGCACAUACAAAAUGACAAACACAUCACAACACAAAACAGCAGCAAAUAUCCAACCGGCAGCGACACAGAAGCCACAAAGGAAUUAAAAGAGCCGACAAGGAUGCACAAGAUAGCCAAAGCAAGGGUUGUGUUCCUCACCGCCCUGAAUGCUCUGUCAAUCCACAGGCCAUCAGUAGAAACUUCAGGCUGCUCUGUUCUCUCACCACCUGUGGAAGGCAGCAUGAUCUCUCAUUCUGUGGCUGCCUGGAAUGAAACACGCUUCAUGUAUGUUACAAGCUUCAGGCAUCUUCAUUCUCCCAACAGCCUUGUCAAGCUGGAUAUCCUCUAAGAUGGUGACUGCCUUUAACAGGACACACUUCAUGUGUGCUGCAUGCUCAGCAGCCCUUUGUGCCAUGUUUGGAAAGAAGAAACAGAGUUGGCACACAUUUGCAAUGACCUCCAUGCCGGAGUGGUGAUUUUGGAAUGUGUUCUCCUCCCAAGAGGCCUGUGUGGGAGGUAGGAUCAAAGACAGGGACUGGACCCAAGUGGGUUUCAAGAAAGAGCAUAAGGAAUGAGGAGGACACAGAAGACAAGACAAGCUGACCUGAUCAAUCUUGUGACGAGGAGGCGCAAUGUCCGAGAAUUGAAGAACUAUUCAACAUAGUUAUUCAGUUUUGUUCAUUAUAGUUCUUCAAUUUUAUUCAAAAUAUAAAUAUGUGUAAAUAUUGAGCAUACAUAUUUAUUUCACACUGAUCAUCACAAGAGAAUGUAAAAGUGAAACUGUGAAAAGUAUAUUCACCAAGUCUUGCUCACACUUCAAAUAAAUGACUUGACUUGUUCUUUCCCAGCAGAUUUCAGGAAAGAGCCUAAGGAGCAAGGAGAGUGAGGAUAAGACAAGCUUUUUCAAUCUCUUUCGUGAUGAGGCUUCAUCAGAGAACUGAAGAACAUAUACAAAAUAUAAAGAUGUAUACAAAUACUGAGCAUACUUAUUUAUUACAUACCGAUUGUCACAGGAGAAUAUAAAAAUGAAACUCUGAAAAUGUAUUACUCAGGAAAUCUAAGGUGUCAUCCUUCAUAAAUGUCUCAUACUCUAACAUCACGUGGAUUUGCUCACACUUCAAAUAAAUUAUGUAACUUGUUCUUUCCCAAAAGAUUUCAAAAACAAACCAGUGGAGGCGACAAGAGACAAGCCAUGCCAAGCAAAACUGCAUUACCCUUUUAGGUCUUGUUUUCAGAAGAUUAGUCUCAAAACCAGUGGCUGGCUGCUGCAAAUAGAGGCUUCAAGCGUGAGCUGAUUUUAUCCUUGGCCCUGUGAGGUAAGUUAGCCUGGAAUAUUCUGUGCUGGCUUCAAGGGUUCAUGCCUAAAAAAUAAGAAUACGUUUGUUUAAAUUGUUUGUAUCCUGCCUAUGGAAGAGCCUUAAACAACCAUCUCUUCAGCCUGGCUUUUAAUGAUAUCUUGUUUUAAUCUUAAUUUUAAUUAGAUUUAAUCUGGUUUAAAUGUUUCUUGAUUUUAAUUGUUUUAUUCUGUGUUUUUUAUUUUAUUUUAAUGUAAACCAGCCUGAGCCAAUGAAUGAAUGAAUGAAAUAAUAAAUAUUCAACAAAAUGCUAUUCAGGGCCUCUUACCCUCUCUUAAAUUAAAACAACCCCCCCCCCCACACACUAAAUGCAAAACAACAACAAAACCCACUAUUAAAUGCAAGCCCCCACACUACUAAAGUUAAAAAAACACACUACUAAAUGCAACAACCCCCCCAAAGCCCACUACUAAAUGGGGGGGAAAACCACCACUAAAUGCACACACUCCGCUAAUAAAUGCAAAAAAGAUUCACUACUAAAUGCAAUAAAACUGAAGAUAAAAUAGACAAGAAAAAAGAGCAUUCACAACUAAAAACUGAGUAUUCUAAACAGGAGUAAAAAAAACACAACCACCAUUGGCUCUGUUCACCAGCCAUUCUCAUUGAGCUCUGUUGGUACAUUACUCGUCAGGUUUUUUCACCCGUCAGGCAUCCUUUUUCACUUGUCACAGAUGGGUAGACUAGUGGAUUUUCUGAGCCCUGAUUCUAAACCUGGAUUGGAGAAAAAUGGAAUUUUUCUUGGUGCAGAUCUCCUGACCUAGCUGCUUUGCGUGAGUAUUUGUUCAGUGAAUCUGAAAAAAACUAUUAUUGUGAUGUUUGAAACUAACAUUUAACACAUUUGUUAAAGAUUUGUGGUAAUGUUUUAUUUUGAAACAUGAAUUAUUUGAAUUGAUGAAAGAAUGUUAAUAUGCCUAUAUAUUCUCUUUUUACCCAGCAGGUUGACUUGUAUACAGUGCCAUGUGGAUUGUGAUAAAUCCCUACAAAGGAGGAUAUUGCAAGAAAUUGGAAAUUUAUAAAAGUGGCUACUGUCAGAGUGGUAUAUAUUAACCUAUGUCUAGAUAUGCUUUUGAUUUUUUCCCCCCUAGCAAUCAAUCAAUGUAUUGCGAUCCAUAGACCAGAAAAUUUUCCCCUAGCAGACUGAUUAACAUUGACGGCCAUGUGGAUUGUGGGUAAAUCCCUAAGGAGGUUAUUUGAAGAAAUCCAAAGUGUAUAAAAGUGACUAAUAUCAAAGAGCUGCUACACUUCUGAUCAAACCUUCGAUUUUGAAGAGCAAUCCUGACAAGAUGCAAAACAAGGGAGCCUUCUUCCUUAGAAACCUGUGGUAAAUCCACGGGGGCUGCUCCAAGGACAGCAAUAUCUGACAUUUUGUUUGACAGAGAAUUCCACAAGUGGAUGAUGCGUUGUGUGAAAAAGUGUUUGUUUGUUUGUUGGUUCUAGAUUUCCUGCCAAUCAAUUGCAUGGGAUGACCCCUGGUUCUAGUGUGAUGUGAGAGGGAGAAGAAUUUCUCUCCAUCCACUUUCUCCACCCUAUGCCUGAUUUUAUAGACCUCUAUCAUGUCUCCCCGCAGUUGUCUUUUUCUAAACUAAAUAGCCCCAGGUGUUGUAGCCUUGCCUCAUACGAAAGGUGCUCUAGGCCCCUGAUCAUCUUGGUUGCCCUCUUCUGCACCAUUUCCAGUUCUACUAUGUCCUUUUUUAGAUGAUGUAACCAGAAUUGUACACAGUAUUCCAGGUGUGGCUGUACCAUAGUUUUUGAAUAAGGGCAUUAUAAUAUUA